GACGAACGCUGGCGGCGUGCUUAACACAUGCAAGUCGAACGGAAAGGCCCUGCUUUUGUGGGGUUCUCGAGUGGCGAACGGGUGAGUAACACGUGAGUAACCUGCCCUUGACUUUGGGAUAACUUCAGGAAACUGGGGCUAAUACCGGAUAGGAGCUCCUGCUGCAUGGUGGGGGUUGGAAAGUUUCGGCGGUGGGGGAUGGACUCGCGGCUUAUCAGCUUGUUGGGGGGGUAGUGGCUUACCAAGGCUUUGACGGGUAGCCGGCCUGAGAGGGUGACCGGCCACAUGGGGACUGAGAUACGGACCAGACUCCUACGGGAGGCAGCAGUGGGGAAUAUUGCAGAAUGGGCGGAAGCCUGAUGCAGCAACGCCGCGUGCGGGAUGACGGCCUUCGGGUUGUAAACCGCUUUCGCCUGUGACGAAGCGUGAGUGACGGUAAUGGGUAAAGAAGCACCGGCUAACUACGUG
rnacentral:rRNA from 1 species